rnacentral:rRNA from 1 species
UUCAGACUGCAGGCUGCAACUCGCCUGCACGAAGUGGAAUUGCUAGUAAUCGUAGGUCAGCAUACUACGGUGAAUACGUUCCCGGGCCUUGUACACACCGCCCGUCAAACCAUGAGAGUUGGCAACACCCGAAGUCGGUAGUCUAACCGCAAGGAGGACGCCGCCGAAGGUGGGGUUGAUGAUUAGGGUUAAGUCGUAACAAGGUAAC